rnacentral:precursor_RNA from 7 species
UGCCUGAGUCUUGGACUGCCAUCCUACACUUAGAUUGUAGGCCCAUUGGAAGGGUUAGCGUCUUGACCCCAAUGAGCCUACAGUCUAAGUGUGGGAUGGCGGAAGCCCUCAGCCAGACU